UACGUAGGGGGCAAGCGUUGUCCGGAAUCAUUGGGCGUAAAGCGCGUGUAGGCGGCUGGGUAAGUCCGCUCUGAAAGCCCGGGGCUCAACCCCGGGAGGCGGGUGGAUACUGCUCAGCUCGAGUCCGGAAGAGGAGUGUGGAAUUCCUGGUGUAGCGGUGAAAUGCCGCAGAUAUCAGGAGGAACACCAAUGGCGAAGGCAGCACUCUGGGACGGUACUGACGCUGAGACGCGAAAGCGUGGGGAGCAA
rnacentral:rRNA from 1 species